rnacentral:rRNA from 1 species
CUAGGCAGCGAGCGUUAUCCGGAUUCACUGGGCGUAAAGCGCGUGCAGGCGGUGCGGUAAGUUGGGCGUGAAAAUCUCCCGGCUCAACUGGGAGAGGUCGUCCAAUACUACCGUACUUGAGAGCAGAAGAGGAAAAUGGAAUUCCCGGUGUAGUGGUGAAAUGCGUAGAUAUCGGGAGGAACACCAGUGGCGAAGGCGAUUUUUCUGGUCUGUUUCUGACGCUCAGACGCGACAGCUAGGGUAGUAAACGGGAUUAGAGACCCGGUAAUCCUAGCCGUAAACGAUGUGAACUUGGCGUUGGUGGGUUAAACUCCAUCAGUGCCGUAGCAAACGCGAUAAGUUCACCGCCUGGGGACUACGGCCGCAAGGUUA